rnacentral:rRNA from 1 species
AUAGAGACUCAGAGCUGCAUAUCAAUAAGCGGAGGAAAAGAAACUAACAAGGAUUCCCUAGUAACGGCGAGUGAGGCGGGAAGAGCUCAAAUUUGAAAUCUUAAAGGUUUCCCUUGACGAAUUGUAGUUUAUAGAAGUGUUUUCUGUUAGGAGUUUCGGUAAAAGUUCUUUGGAAUAGGACAUCAUAGAGGGUGAGAAUCCCGUAUUUGACCGUUACUUUCCUAGCUUUGUGAUACACUUUCAAAGAGUCGGAUUGUUUGGGAAUGCAGUCCAAAAUGGGUGGUAAAUUUCAUCUAAAGCUAAAUAUUGGCGAGAGACCGAUAGCGAACAAGUACCGUGAGGGAAAGAUGAAAAGAACUUUGAAAAGAGAGUUAAACAGUACGUGAAAUUGUCAAAAGGGAAGCGUUUGACACCAGUGUUGUUUAGUUCGAAAAUCAAUUCAAGAAUGUUAUGAUUUUGAGUAAGUAUUGACCUUCAUCAGGCUUGCUUCUUUCUUUCAGAAAUUAUUGAAUGCACUUUUCGGUUAACAAGUCAACAUCAAUUUCUUUUGUUGUAAAAGGGUAUGAGGAAGGUGGCUUACUCUUCGGCGUAAGUGUUUAUAGCCUUGUACCUCUGCAAUCGGAGAGAUUGAGGUCUGCAGCGUAGAUCCUUCGGGGUUAGAUACAUUUGUGCUAAGCUAUAGCCUUGUAUAGACAACUUGUUGACUAUGCUCUAGUCAUGUAGCUUACUCGCUUAUGCUAUUUUACCUACGCUUAGGAUGUUGACGAGACUGUCGAUCUC